CCUACGGGAGGCUGCAGUGAGGAAUAUUGCGCAAUGGGCGAAAGCCUGACGCAGCGACGCCGCGUGAGGGAUGAAGGUCUUCGGAUCGUAAACCUCUGUCAGCAGGGAAGAACGGUCACUGUGCUAAUCAGCAGUGAAUUGACGGUACCUGCAAAGGAAGCACCGGCUAACUCCGUGCCAGCCGCCGCGGUAAUACGGAGGGUGCGAGCGUUAAUCGGAAUUACUGGGCGUAAAGCGCUCGUAGGCGGUAUGUCAAGUCAAGGGUGAAAUCCCGGCGCUCAACGUGGGAACUGCCUUUGAAACUGGCAAACUGGAGUGUGUGAGGGGAUAGUGGAAUUCCAGGGGUAGGAGUGAAAUCCGUAGAUAUCUGGAGGAACAUCAGUGGCGAAGGCGAGUAUCUGGCACAUAACUGACGCUGAGGAGCGAAAGCGUGGGUAGCAAACAGGAUUAGAUACCCGAGUAGUC
rnacentral:rRNA from 1 species